UCCCUGGUGGCUCAGAAGGUAAAGCACCUGCUUGCAAUGUGGGAGACCCGGGUUCGAUCCCUGGGUUGGGAA
rnacentral:tRNA from 1 species